rnacentral:tRNA from 1 species
AGAGAACAAGUAAAAGAAUAGCUGCUAACUAAUUCUUUAAGCGGUUAAAUUCCGUUUUUCUCUU